GCGCACGGGGGAUGCCUUGGCUCUCAGAGACGAUGAAGGACGUGCUAAGCUGCGAUAAGCUACGGGAAGUUGCACAGAAACUGUGAUCCGUAGAUUUCCGAAUGGGGCAACCCAGCAUAUUGAAGAUAUGUUAUCCUUAGGGAGGUUAACCCGGAGAACUGAAACAUCUAAGUACCCGGAGGAAGAGAAAACAAUAGUGAUUCCGCAAGUAGUGGCGAGCGAACGCGGAACAGCCCAAACCCUGAUCGUUACGGCGGUUGGGGGGUUGUAGGACUACAAUGUGGACUUUAUAAUGAACAAGAAUGACUUGGGAAAGUCAGCCAAAGAAGGUGAAAGCCCUGUAUUGGUAAAAUUAUAAUACCUAGUAGUAUCCUGAGUAAGACGGGACCGGAGAAAUCCCGUUUGAAUCCACCGGCACCAUCCGGUAAGGCUAAAUACUCCUGAGAGACCGAUAGUGAACUAGUACCGUGAGGGAAAGGUGAAAAGUACCCUGAAUAAGGGGGUGAAAUAGUACCUGAAACCAUGCGCUUACAAACGGUCGGAGCGACUUUGUGUCGUAACGGCGUGCCUUUUGCAUAAUGAGCCUACGAGUUAGUGUUGUUGGCAAGGUUAAUACUUUAAGAGUUGAAGCCGAAGCGAAAGCGAGUCUUAACAGGGCGAUCAGUCAGCAGUACUAGACGCGAAACUUGGUGAUCUACCCAUGACCAGGAUGAAGUGUAGGUAACACUACAUGGAGGUCCGAACCAGUUGACGUUGAAAAGUCUUUGGAUGAGUUGUGGGUAGGGGUGAAAGGCCAAUCAAACUGAGAGAUAGCUCGUACUCCCCGAAAUGCUUUUAGGAGCAGCGUGGAAUUUAGUUUAUCAGAGGUAGAGCUACCGAUUGGACUAGGGGGAGUCAAAUCCUACCAAAUCCAGACGAACUCCGAAUGCUGAUAAAUAUAUUCUGCAGUGAGGGCUCGGGUGCUAAGGUCCGAGUCCGAGAGGGAAAGAACCCAGACCUACAGCUAAGGUCCCUAAAUUUGUAUUAAGUUGAACUAAGGAGGUUCAGUUGCUUAGACAGCCAGGAUGUUGGCUUGGAAGCAGCCAUUCAUUUAAAGAGUGCGUAACAGCUCACUGGUCGAGCGUCUUUGCGCCGAAAAUGGACGGGACUAAGGAAUCUGCCGAAGCUGUGAAAGAAUACCAUAUUCUUGGUAGGGGAGCGUUCUGCUAUAGGGUGAAGUUUUUUCGUGAGAAAGAAUGGACGAAGCAGAAGUGAGAAUGUCGGCUUGAGUAGCGAAAACAUCGGUGAGAAUCCGAUGCCCCGAAAACCUAAGGGUUCCUCCACAAGGCUCGUCCAUGGGGGGUUAGUCAGGACCUAAGAUCAGGCCGAAAGGCGUAGUCGAUGGGAAGCAGGUCAAUAUUCCUGCACUUAAUUUUUAUUAGCACCGGGGGACGAAGCCGUUUGAGAUGCAGUCGGCGAAGAAAGACUGAAUUACAUCAAGGCUUCCAAGAAAAUCCCGUUCUGCUCUUAAUAGGAAUUAACCUGUACCACAAACUGACACAAGUGGGUAGGUCGAGAAGACCAAGGGGCGCGAGAUAACUCUCUCUAAGGAACUCGGCAAAAUGGCCCCGUAACUUCGGGAGAAGGGGUACCUAUUUAUAGGUCGCAGUGACCAGACCCAGGCAACUGUUUAUCAAAAACACAGGUCUCCGCUAAUUCGAAAGAUGAUGUAUGGGGGCUGACGCCUGCCCAGUGCUGGAAGGUUAAGGAAGUUGGUUAGCUCAGGCGAAGCUAGCGACCGAAGCCCCAGUGAACGGCGGCCGUAACUAUAACGGUCCUAAGGUAGCGAAAUUCCUUGUCGGGUAAGUUCCGACCUGCACGAAUGGCGUAACGAUGGGGGCGCUGUCUCUACCCGAGACUCAGUGAAAUUGAAAUCGCCGUGAAGAUGCGGUGUAUCCGCGGCUAGACGGAAAGACCCCGUGAACCUUUACUAUAGCUUCACAGUGAACUUUGAGCAUGUUUGUGUAGGAUAGCUGGGAGGCUUUGAAACCAGGACGCCAGUUCUGGUGGAGCCAACCUUGAAAUACCAGCCUGACAUGUUUGAGGUUCUAACUUGGUCCCCUUAUCGGGGAUGAGGACACUGUGUGGUGGGUAGUUUGACUGGGGUGGUCGCCUCCAAAAGAGUAACGGAGGCUUUCAAAGGUACCCUCAGCACGCUUGGUAACCGUGCGCAGAGUGCAAUAGCAUAAGGGUGCUUGACUGUAAGGCCUACAAGCCGAGCAGGUACGAAAGUAGGAUAUAGUGAUCCGGCGGUUCUGUAUGGAAGGGCCGUCGCUCAAAGGAUAAAAGGUACUCCGGGGAUAACAGGCUGAUACCGCCCAAGAGUUCACAUCGACGGCGGUGUUUGGCACCUCGAUGUCGGCUCAUCACAUCCUGGGGCUGAAGCCGGUCCCAAGGGUAUGGCUGUUCGCCAUUUAAAGUGGUACGCGAGCUGGGUUUAGAACGUCGUGAGACAGUUCGGUCUCUAUCUGUUGUGGGCGUAAGAAACUUGAGUAGAUCUGUCUUUAGUACGAGAGGACCGAGAUGGACUAACCGCUGGUGUACCAGUUGUUCCGCCAGGAGCACUGCUGGGUAGCUACGUUGGGAAGGGAUAAGCACUGAAAGCAUCUAAGUGCGAAACCCACUACAAGAUGAGGUUUCUUUUAAGGGAUGUUCUAGAUUAGGACGUAGAUAGGCUACAGGUGUAAAGGCAGUAAUGUCAAAGC
rnacentral:rRNA from 1 species